GGGUGGAGAGGGUGUUACAUUAGGGUGGAGAGGGUGUUACAUUAGGGUGGAGGGGGCGUUACAUUAGGGGUGGAGGUGGUGUUACAUUAGGGUGGAGGUGGUGUUACAUUAGGGGUGGAGGGGGUGUUACAGUAGGGCUUGAGAGGGCUUACUUAAGGGGUACACCAACCACCUCUACCUUGUAAAGUCGCCAAGUGAGUUCUAAUGGUGGAUGUAUUUUAUUAUUGCUUUUCAUCACUUCAAAUGAUUUUGAACUAAAGCGACGGGUGCAGUGAAAAAUGCCAUAUUCAGAAGAGCCGGUUUUGAAUACCUUAGCAUUACAUACAUUGCACAAUCAUUGCUAUUCCUACUUAGGAUACUAAGAUUUGUAUGAUGAUGAUUCACUGAGUAUGGUGGACUUUUCUAACGUUAAUUUAGAUAGUUAGCUGUUAACUCCUCGCCCACACGCCAUCACAAACUGUGAAAGAUGUAUGUUAUCCCAGUAGAAGUUGUUAAUUUUUUUGGUUUAACCUGCUGCUAUAAGACAUUAAUUUGUUUGGCUGUUAUGCUUGAUAACGUUGACUGAAACUAAUCUGUCAGUAUGCUUAAAAAAAAACACAUGUGUGACGUUGUUGUAAACAAGCUCCCCCUGUGGAGCCUGUUGGUAGUGCAGACGUUGGCGUAUACAUAUACAAUGAGAACGAGAUCAACGCUUUUCCUCAAAGUGUUAUAACUGAAAUGGAAUACCGUUUUUAAUCAAUUAACAUGUACUUUUAGCUGCCAUUGGUUUAACUUAUGCCGAACCGUGUGUAUCCCUGCCUUUUAUCUUCGCUGCCUAGCCAUGGAUUCUUGAUCCUCAGUUGUUUUAAAAUAGGUGAAUUCAUAUAGUUUUGUAUGAAGGUCGUGUCUGUGUUUCAAACGCGUUCUUCGUGAGGAAUCCUGAUUGUCCAGCAUGUUCUGCCAAUCUCUUAACUCUCCUUUAUAUAUUUGCCAUACCUGUAACGUACUGUAUUGCACAAUGCCAUUUACUGCACACUUUACUGUAGUGUUUACUUUAUCAACUUAUUUUUUUUUUGUACUUGACUCGUAGUUUAUCUUGGCACUUUGCUGAUAAUGGUGUUUUUCUUUCCUAUAAGCUCUUUUUUUAAAAAAACUGGCUGGUGAGUUACUUUGUUUGCCUUCGACGAUAGAUUAAAUCGUAAUUAUUCGUUCAUUGCUAAUCCCUUGCAUUUGUUUGGGAAUCGCAAGGGAGAGAGAGGUAGGAUUUCGUUUGUCUUAUGCAAAGUAUUCCCUAAUGCUACUCUGUAUAACAUUAAAUAAUAAUUACACUA